rnacentral:rRNA from 2 species
UAGGUGUGGGGGACAUUCCACGUUUUCCGCGCCGUAGCUAACGCAUUAAGUGCCCCGCCUGGGGAGUACGGCCGCAAGGCUAAAACUCAAAGGAAUUGACGGGGGCCCGCACAAGCGGCGGAGCAUGCGGAUUAAUUCGAUGCAACGCGAAGAACCUUACCAAGGCUUGACAUGGACCGGACCGCCGCAGAAAUGUGGUUUCCCCUUUGGGGCCGGUUCACAGGUGGUGCAUGGUUGUCGUCAGCUCGUGUCGUGAGAUGUUGGGUUAAGUCCCGCAACGAGCGCAACCCUCGUUCUAUGUUGCCAGCGCGUGAUGGCGGGGACUCAUAGGAGACUGCCGGGGUCAACUCGGAGGAAGGUGGGGACGACGUCAAAUCAUCAUGCCCCUUAUGUCUUGGGCUUCACGCAUGCUACAAUGGCCGGUACAAAGGGUUGCGAUACUGUGAGGUGGAGCUAAUCCCAAAAAGCCGGUCUCAGUUCGGAUUGGGGUCUGCAACUCGACCCCAUGAAGUCGGAGUCGCUAGUAAUCGCAGAUCAGCAACGCUGCGGUGAAUACGUUCCCGGGCCUUGUACACACCGCCCGUCAAGUCACGAAAGUUGGUAACACCCGAAGCCGGUGGCCUAACCCCUUGUGGGAGGGAGCUGUCGAAGGUGGGACUGGCGAUUGGGACU